UACGGAGGGAGCUAGCGUUGUUCGGAGUUACUGGGCGUAAAGCGCACGUAGGCGGCUACUCAAGUCGGGGGUGAAAGCCCGGGGCUCAACCCCGGAACUGCCCUCGAAACUAGGUGGCUAGAAUCUUGGAGAGGUCAGUGGAAUUCCGAGUGUAGAGGUGAAAUUCGUAGAUAUUCGGAAGAACACCAGUGGCGAAGGCGACUGACUGGACAAGUAUUGACGCUGAGGUGCGAAAGCGUGGGGAGCAAACAGG
rnacentral:rRNA from 1 species